AAUUUGAAGAUAUCAGCGCAAGCACCCACAGCAUCUGGGUUAACCCAUUCUUCACAUAGAAAGGAUAACUCAGAAUUGAACCAAGAAAAUUUUGGGAUGAUGUCAGAAAAUACGAGUACAACACCAUCAAAUAACGCAUUUUCAACUAGAAUGCAACCUGGACCCACAAAUUCAGGUUCUCAAACUGGCAGUUAAAGUGAUCUCCAAUCAAAUUUGAAGAUAUCAGCGCAAGCACCCACAGCAUCUGGGUUAACCCAUUCUUCACAUAGGUAAGUAAAUAAUAUAAUCAACAUAUUAACUGUAAUGUUAGGUGCCAUGUCAUCAUGGCUCACCACACUGAAUUUAUCAGUAUGGUUCGCUCCAUAAUGUUUGUCAACUGGGCAACAUGUCUUCAAGUGCAACGUAGAGGCAUGUAUAGCAGGUAGGGUUUUCCAAGACUUUUAUAGCGAUGACUUAUCGCCUACAUAGGUAAUCAGUAUCUGAUCGGUGUGGGUCUGACACUCUGGACCCCCACCAAUCAGCUGUUUUAGAAGGUACCAGCACUCGCAUUAGCACCAUGGCCUUCUCUCUGCUCACCAAGCACAGUGACGUACAUUGUACAGCGGCUGUGCCUAAUAUCACAGCUCAGUCCCUGUCACUUCUAUGGGGCCGAGCGGCACCUAGGCCAUGUGACAGUUGAACGUGACAUCACAUGUCCUUGGCUAGGCUGUGAGAAGGCCAUGGCACUACUGCAAGAGCCGAUGCCUUCUCAAGCAGCUGAUCAGCUGGGAUCCCGGGUGGCGGACCAGAUACUGAUGAUCUAACCAGAGGAUACCCCUUUAUGGACCAGACAAAUAUUUAAUUUUUUCAUCUUGGCAUUCCAGACUGUAAACCUUAUUAUAGGGUACCUAAACCUUUACGCAAAGCAAGGAAGGUGCA